GACGAACGCUGGCGGCGUGCCUAAUACAUGCAAGUCGAACGAGAGCGACCGGUGCUUGCACUGGUCAAUCUAGUGGCGAACGGGUGAGUAACACGUGGGUAACCUGCCCAUCAGAGGGGGAUAACAUCCGGAAACGGAUGCUAAAACCGCAUAGGUCUUCGAACCGCAUGGUUUGAAGAGGAAAAGAGGCGCAAGCUUCUGCUGAUGGAUGGACCCGCGGUGCAUUAGCUAGUUGGUGAGGUAACGGCUCACCAAGGCCGUGAUGCAUAGCCGACCUGAGAGGGUGAUCGGCCACGUUGGGACUGAGACACGGCCCAAACUCCUACGGGAGGCAGCAGUAGGGAAUCUUCCGCAAUGGACGCAAGUCUGACGGAGCAACGCCGCGUGAGUGAAGAAGGUUUUCGGAUCGUAAAACUCUGUUGUUAGAGAAGAACAAGUGCUAGAGUAACNGUUAGCGCCUGACG
rnacentral:rRNA from 1 species